rnacentral:rRNA from 1 species
UACAGAGGGGGCAAGCGUUGUUCGGAAUUACUGGGUGUAAAGGGCGCGUAGGCGGCCUUCUAAGUCAGACGUGAAAUCCCCCGGCUGAACCUGGGAACUGCGUCUGAUACUGGGAGGCUUGAGUAUGGGAGAGGGAUGUAGAAUUCCAGGUGUAGCGGUGAAAUGCGUAGAUAUCUGGAGGAAUACCGGUGGCGAAGGCGGCAUCCUGGACCAUUACUGACGCUGAGGCGCGAAAGCGAGGGGAGCAAACGGG